UACAGAGGUCCCAAGCGUUGUUCGGAUUCACUGGGCGUAAAGGGUGCGUAGGCGGUUGGGUAAGUUUGACGUGAAAUCUCCGGGCCUAACCCGGAAACUGCGUUGAAUACUAUCCAGCUAGAGGAUUGGAAGGGAGACUGGAAUACUUGGUGUAGCAGUGAAAUGCGUAGAUAUCAAGUGGAACACCAGUGGCGAAGGCGAGUCUCUGGACAAUUCCUGACGCUGAGGCACGAAAGCCAGGGGAGCAAACGGG
rnacentral:rRNA from 1 species